GUGACCUACGGGAGGCAGCAGUGGGGAAUAUUGGGCAAUGGGCGCAAGCCUGACCCAGCGACGCCGCGUGAGGGAAGACGGUCUUCGGAUUGUAAACCUCUUUCAGCAGGGAAGACAAAAGGACGGUACCUGCAGAAGAAGCCACGGCUAACUACGUGCCAGCAGCCGCGGUAAUACGUAGGUGGCAAGCGUUAUCCGGAUUUACUGGGUGUAAAGGGCGUGUAGGCGGGAGUGCAAGUCAGAUGUGAAAACUAUGGGCUCAACCCAUAGCCUGCAUUUGAAACUGUACUUCUUGAGUGCUGGAG
rnacentral:rRNA from 1 species